rnacentral:sRNA from 1 species
UCGGCCAGUAGGUGUCUCUGCUCCUCGGGCGCCCUUGAGCAGUGCCCAACGUUGAGCGUGAGGCUCGUGCUCCGGGUCUCGCGGGCGGCCGCCUCGGGCGUCGAGUUCCGGAGAUUGGACAGACACCAGAGCCUGGGGACCGCGGAGUGACCGGAUGGGGCUGGAGGGCGGCGCCGCGCCUUCUGGGGAGACGCGGAGGUAUCAGGACCUGGGCUAUGCUCCUGCUUUUAUACAGACUGCCAUGGCUCCAGAUAUAAAAGACCAAAUAAAAAGUUACCUACCAGACACUGACUAUCUUAAACACCGAAGCACAAGAAUGCUCCAAAGAAGAGGUCUAUAUUGCUUGGCUCAUAUUAACUUCUGUUUAUUUUCUUACGAUUAAGGCUCAAACGUUGUUAAAAAAUGUUCAAAUCCUACAAGACACUGACAUGCCAGUUCCUCAGCUUUGAUGGAGAAACCAGCUUUCUCUUCUUGCAGAGAUACUCUUCAUGAAAAGUGGAGCUCCAAGAAGAGUAGACAUGAGGAAAAUAUGAAUUUUUACAAAAGGAAAUGUAUGGUGCAAUUAUAAACUGUAGCAUGAACCCAUAAUUGGAAGUCUACAUCUCACAGUUAUAGUCAAGAAUUCUGGUACAUAUAAAAUAAGUUCUUUCAAAAUGGGAUUCAGGUAUUAUUUAGAAAUGCAUCUACUGAAAAGAAGCAUACCAUAAAAAUUUAUGCUAAUUAUGGAUGAGAUCAUGGACAGUUUAAUCGAAAUUACGAGUUGGAUUUGUCAGAUGUAGAGUCUCAAUCAGGCCACUUGAAAGACCAAAUGAUUUCCUUUUCAUCUGAAAGGUUCAGAGAGGAAGCUUUUGAAAAGACACUAUUGAAAUCUUCAAGGUAGCUGUUCCUAGCACAGCUUUGAUUUCUAAAAUAACUAGAAGGACUGUAGACCUACAUGAGGGGAGAGAAGAGAAACUGAAGAAUUGUUAGAAAACAUAAGUUUUCUUUACUUCUAGUACCACUCCACGCUUUGUGAAAAAAGUUAUUUUAUGAAGUCAAGAAGUCAAUCAGAAGAAACACCAGGGAAAGUCAACACAAACUGGUUUAUCUAAUACUUUCUCAGUGUCCAAUUUGCAAUGCACUGAGUUCCCUGCUAAACUAUGUCUAUAUAUUGGGGGCUGGGAGAGGAGUAGGUUAAAAAUAAAUAUGAGUUGCAAGUCUUUCUCCUCGGGCUACUAAUAAUAUACCUGAAUUUUAUGUUUGAUUUUGUCUUCCUUGUCUUUAUAGUUUUUGCAACUAAUGUAUAUAUGUCUAAACAAUCUAUUGCUUAAAUUUACAUAAUUUUCAACUUUACAUAUGUAGAAUCAUGCUGUUUGUUUUCUUCUGUACCUCAGUUUUUUUCACUAAAAAUUGUCUUCUGAAAAAAAAAGCGGAGGUAUCAUACUUCCUGAUUUAAAAUUAUAUUACAAAGCUAUAGUAAACAAAUCAGUAUAGUACUUACUCAAAAACAGACACAGUGAAACAGAAUGGAGUCCAGAAAUAAAUUCAAACAUAUACAGUAAACUAAUUUUUGACAGAGACACCAAGAGGAUACAGUGGGAAAAGGUUAGGCUCUUCAAUAAAUAGUGCUGGGAAAAUUGAAUUUCCACAUAUAUGCAAAAUUUAUAAAAUAUAAGACCUAAAACUAUAAAAUUCCUUAAAGAGAACACAAAAAGCUCCUGGACAUUGGCCUUGGAAAUAAUUUUUUGGAUAUCACACCAAAAAAUGAAAAAAAAAAAGCUCAGGCUGCAAAAGC